rnacentral:rRNA from 1 species
GAUGAACGCUGGCGGCGUGCUUAACACAUGCAAGUCGAACGGUGAAGGCGGAGCUUGCUCUGCUGGAUCAGUGGCGAACGGGUGAGUAACACGUGAGCAAUCUGCCCCUGACUCUGGGAUAAGCGCUGGAAACGGCGUCUAAUACUGGAUACGAGCUGCGAAGGCAUCUUCAGCAGCUGGAAAGAAUUUCGGUCAGGGAUGAGCUCGCGGCCUAUCAGCUUGUUGGUGAGGUACUGGCUAACCAAGGCGUCGACGGGUAGCCGGCCUGGGAGGGUGACCGGCCACACUGGGACUGAGACACGGCCCAGACUCCUACGGGAGGCAGCAGUGGGGAAUAUUGCACAAUGGGCGAAAGCCUGAUGCAGCAACGCCGCGUGAGGGAAGACGGCCUUCGGGUUGUAAACCUCUGUUAGCAGGGAAGAAGCGAAAGUGACGGUACCUGCAGAAAAAGCGCCGGCUAACUACGUG